rnacentral:lncRNA from 1 species
UUCGGCGAGGCCCGCGUGACGAUGCGCAAGACGGCGGCGAAGGCCAAGCCGGCGGCGGCGUCCGGCAGCCCGUGGUACGGCCCCGACCGCGUGCUCUACCUGGGCCCGCUCUCCGGCGAGCCCCCGAGCUACCUGACUGGCGAGUUCCCCGGCGACUACGGCUGGGACACGGCCGGGCUGUCGGCGGACCCCGAGACGUUCGCCAAGAACCGGGAGCUGGAGGUGAUCCACUCCCGCUGGGCCAUGCUCGGCGCGCUCGGCUGCGUGUUCCCGGAGCUGCUCGCCCGCAACGGCGUCAAGUUCGGCGAGGCCGUGUGGUUCAAGGCGGGUUCGCAGAUCUUCAGCGAGGGCGGGCUGGACUACCUGGGCAACCCGAGCCUGAUCCACGCGCAGAGCAUCCUCGCCAUCUGGGCCUGCCAGGUCGUGCUCAUGGGCGCCGUCGAGGGGUACCGCAUCGCCGGCGGCCCACUCGGCGAGGUCGUCGACCCGCUCUACCCCGGCGGCAGCUUCGACCCACUCGGCCUCGCCGACGACCCCGAGGCCUUCGCCGAGCUCAAGGUGAAGGAGCUCAAGAACGGCCGCCUUGCCAUGUUCUCCAUGUUCGGAUUCUUCGUCCAGGCCAUCGUCACCGGCAAGGGCCCGCUCGAGAACCUCGCCGACCACCUCGCCGACCCCGUCAACAACAACGCCUGGGCCUACGCCACCAACUUCGUGCCCGGCAAGUGAGGAGGUGUCCGGAUGCAUGUGAGCGCGCGCGCGCAC